AUUGCUGCCUUCGUCGGAAAGGCCUUCUGAGUGGGGGUAUGUUGGCAAGCAUCUCCUCCUCGGGAAAACAAGAGCCUAGCGCCCCGGUAAUGAAUUGAGAACAGUGGGGUGCAGGAGGAGCCCGAUGCUGCUGUACCGAGGGGCAAGUGGACGGUGCUCUUGGAAAGUCCCCUUUCCAGCCUUGCAUCCCCAGAUACCGUUGGACUACAGCUCUUAUCACCUCAAGCAUUGGUAGUGGUUGCUGGAGACGAUGGGAAUUAUAAUCCAGCAGCAUUCGGGGGCCUAAGGUUGGGCCAGGGAGCCAAGGCAUGGUACGAGUACCAAAUCUACUCGACCUGGCGUAUGAUGCAUUCUGUUAGAACUUAAAGAUGGAAUUGGGAAAAGGUAAAUUGCUAAGAACUGGCCUCAAUGCCUUAUACCAGGCCAUCCACCCUGUGCAUGGGAUUGCCUGGACAGAUGGAAAGCAAGUGAUACUGACUUCUUUAUACCUACAUAAUGGAGAACCUAAAUUCGGCAACUCCAAUGUUGUUGGUCAGUUUGAACAUGUGCUUGGACUCUACUGGGGUCCAUCAUGCACUCCAGAUGUUCCUGCACUCCUUGCUAUUCAGCAUAAAAAACACAUCACCAUGUGGCAACUCUGUUACAGCAUUUCUGAAAGAAACAAACUAAUGGUUUAUCAAAUCAGUGAAAUUAGUGAGCUGUUCCCAAUACUUCCUCAGGGCUGCAUCUGGCAUCCCAAAAAAGAAAUCCUGGCUGUGCUUACGACAAGGGACACUUCUGUAUUGCACUCCGUUCGUCUGAACAACUCCCGGAUAAAGGCUGAUAUUAAAG